GAUAACCUGUGAAAUUCAUGCUGGAUGCCUUUAUAGCACUGAUGAUUUAUUGGACAGCUUGGGGACAGCUUAUGACGCACACCAGAGGAGACAAGUGUACAUGAAGACAAGCUGCAACAGCGACUGUAGAGCCAGAGCUGGGAAGAAAAAGUGAACAGGGAGGAAGGAAGGUCAGCACCAUGGACAGUGGCCUUUCCCACUUUGGCCACAGAGAGGCUUUCAUUGUGAAACAAUAGAAAUACUAGGACUGAGGCAUCUUCAAGUACCUACCUAGUAACAGAGGAUUCUGUUGGGGAAGCCCUUUCUGCAAAUCCUGAUGCCUUCCAGCACACCGUUACAGCGCAGCUGGUGCAUCACCAGAGGGUUCUCCAUGGCCCCAGGAGUCUUGGUCUCAUUGGGGAUGAUGCAGCGCACAAAGUGAGGACUGUGGACUUCUGUGUGGACUCAUAUCUUGAGUCCUGCUUUUCUUCUGAUGAAGCAAUGACCAAGACUGGGUGAAUAAAAAGGCAUCUUUUGGAGGACUCUACCUCUUAAUACGCCAAGUCCAGAUUAUUUUCUGUCAGUCAGACAUCUUUGUCAAGUCUGCCUCUUCUCUGUGUUACAAAUGGCCCUCCCUCCUCUGGCUUGAAAAGAGGAUGCUCGUUGCUAGAGAAAGACUGACCUCCACUACUGAUAUGAAGAGGAUUCUGUUGGGGAAGCCCUUUCUGCAGAUCCGGAUGCCUUCCAGCACACCAUUACAGCGCAGCUGGUGCAUCACCAGAGGGUUCUCCAUGGCCCCAGGAGUCUUGGUCUCAUUGGGGAUGAUGCAGCGCACAAAGUGAGGCUGUCUCAAUCCCGGUGGAUAUUCAUCUGUUUUGUGUGCCCCUCGUGGCUAUUAUCCCCUUCUUGCUGUGUCAGGAUGGAGUGGUAACCAGACUCCUCUAAGAUGUACAAAACUUUUGAAGGACUGCGCCAUGUGAGAUCAAGGUCAGCAUGCGGUGCCAAACAAGUGUCAAGUUAAUAUCUGUCGCUUGGCUUCUUUUGUCAGUGGAAGAACUUGCUACAUCAUUCUCUCCUUUGUGCUGCUGCAGAUGAAUAAGAGUUACUUUGGAGACAGAUGGGACUAAACCACAGGAGAUCCCAAAGGUCUUAGGUGGCCGUCUGUGAGUUUCACUCCUCAUCUAGCCCUUUCUGUGAUGAAUAAUGAUAAGAAAGUAGACAAAGAGAGACACAUUAGUGACAGAAGACCAACAAGACUCAACACGUGUUAAUCAAGGUAGUAAACCACAACUAGAUUCUGGCCUGAAAUGAUUGCUCUUCCGUUUAAGACGUUAUAGUGAUUGUGAUAAUAAUUUAACUUGAAUAACAUUUAUUUCACUAUCUGCAUUUCCUUACUUUACAAUGUUGGCUUGGACACAUUAUUUCAAAAUGUGCUAGUUUAAUCUUGUAUUUUCAAGCCAUUGUGGGUUUUUUUAUUUGUUACCCCUUCCAAAAUGACAAAGCCUAACUUACAGAAUAAUAAAUCACUCAUUGACCUUAUCAUAAAAUAGAUCGUUUGAAAAAAAUUGUGAUUCAAGCCUAAUUAAAGAUACAUGAAGACAUUUAUCUUCAAACUAGAUGGCUAACAAAGAUGUGGGUAUGUAUGCCAAAACAGCCAUAAUGUUAACAUGCUCUAGUGACUGCAUGAGAGCUAAUUAUGGUAACUGUUCACAAAUAUGAAGAUAUCAUGUUUUAACAAAAAGUGAGUGUUCCAUCUAACAAAAUUGUUUGGUAUGUUAACUUGGAACUGUAUAUAUUAUGUAACUAUCAUUAAUGUAAUGGAAUCGCCAUUUUAAGGGCCGUCCUCUCCCAAAAACAUUCAAUCAUUGUAGUUAUCAUUAUGAUGAAAAUUGAUGAUGCCAAAAAUUGAUUUUCCACUAACCUACAUCAUAUUGCACUAAUUUUACUUACCAAACCCAUAAUGACUAACUUAAUUGAAAUAAAAUC